CUGAAGUAUAUCUCAUGAUAAAAGGGCUGUGAGAAGAAUUUCUGUAGUCCUGAUGCAGUUGUGCACCAGUAAGCAGAUUGUUCAUUGGACAGAAUGGCUCUACGAGAGGCAACACUUUUAGGAAUAAUUAUUGUAUUCUCAGGCCACAUUCACUCUGUGUUUACAACUCAAAAUGUAUGUAAGACGUAUGGCAGCGGCAUCUUUUAUACAUUCA